rnacentral:misc_RNA from 1 species
CAAGAAAGAGUUUAAUAUCCACUUAGAUUCCUCAAUUUGUGUAAAGCAUGGAGAAAAUAGAUCAACAAUGGCAGGAUUUGACAUCCAGACUAUUGGAAGGCAGCUUGGAUAUAUCCUCAGAAGCGAAACCAAAUUCAAGAAUUUUAAGAUAAACAAUACUUCUGCUGGGAUAUCCAUUGCUUUGCUGAGCAAAAAUGUGGCCACAGGACUGAAAAUUGAGGACCAGAUUGCUAUUGGAAAGCGCUUGGCUUUGGUGGGAAAUGCUGGGGCUGUAAGAUCUGGAGGUGAUACAGCAUAUGGAGCCAACUUCGAAGUUCACCUCAAGAGCAAAGAUUUUCCUGUAGAGCAGGAACAAUCCACAUUAGGCUUGUCUCUGAUGAAUUGGAGAGGUGAUUUGGGUGUACUGGCCAACUUAGACUCUCAGUUCUCCAUUGGUCGGAAUUCAAAAAUGGCUAUCCAUGUUGGAAUGAAUAACAGGCAAAGUGGACAGAUCACCAUCAAGACCAGUA